UCAUCCGCAAUGGGCGAAAGCCUGACGGUGCAACGCCGCGUGAACGACGAAGGUUUUCGGAUCGUAAAGUUCUGUUGUGAGGGAAGAACACGUGCCGGUCAAACAGGCCGGCACCUUGACGGUACCUCCCGAGAAAGCCCCGGCUAACUCCGUGCCAGCAGCCGCGGUAAUACGUAGGGGGCAAGCGUUGUCCGGAAUUAUUGGGCGUAAAGCGCGCGCAGGCGGUCUUGUAAGUCUGAUGUGAAAGCCCACGGCUCAACCGUGGAGGGUCAUUGGAAACUGCAGGACUUGAGUGUAGGAGAGGAAAGUGGAAUCCCAUGUGUAGCGGUGAAAUGCGUAGAUAUGUGGAGGAACACCAGUGGCGAAGGCGACUUUCUGGCCUACAACUGACGCUGAGGCGCGAAAGCGUGGGGAGCAAACAGG
rnacentral:rRNA from 1 species